rnacentral:misc_RNA from 1 species
ACCUCUCAACCCCACCAAGUUAAUUCUUGGCAGCUUGGGUUUGGAUCAUGGCUAUUGUCGGAGCGUCUGACGCCCAAGACUCGGCUGAAAUGUAACAAGCUACGGUCAAAAUACUUUGCGGCUUGAGCUAUCGUUGUAGAACUUUCUCGAUAGUGACGCAAAGAUGUUUGUCUAAACGCAGCUUUAAAACCAAAAUCAAACCUGUUUAGUUCAAACAGUGCA